rnacentral:lncRNA from 1 species
ACUGACUUCCUUUUGAUAGUACUGCGUGAUGUGUUUCAGGCUUAUCCUGAAGUUCACAUUGUUCUUAUGUCUGCUACUAUUGAUACCAACAUGUUCUGUGAAUAUUUCUUCAAUUGCCCCAUCAUUGAAGUUUAUGGGAGGACUUAACCAAUUGAAGAUGAAGUCUAGCUCUGUUGCCCAGGCUGGAGUGCAGUGGUGCAGUCUCAGCUCACUGCAAUCUCGUCCUCCCAGGUUCAUGUGAUUUUCCUGCCUCAGCCUCCUGAGCAGCUAGGAUUACAGACACACACCACCACACCCAGCUAGUUUUUGUAUUUUUAGUAGAGAUGGGCUUUCACCAUGUUGGUCACGGUGGUCUUGAGCUGCUGACCUUGUGAUCUGCCCAUAUCAGCCUCCCAAAGUGCUGGGAUUACAGGCGUUUACCACCGCGCCUGGCCUUGGGAGCUCAGUUUCUUACUACUAGAAAGAGAAGUUAAACCUAAGUGGGAUUGCCAGAACAAAGCAUAGGGUACCGGAUUAUACUCAAAGAGAUCAGCAUGAACUUGUGUUCAGCUAAAUGGAGAUACAAAUGGAAUAUUUUCUGGAAGACUGCAUUCGGAUGACCCACUUUGUUCCUCCACCAAAAGACAAGAAGAAGAAGGAUAAGGAUGAUGAUGGUGGUGAGGAUGAUUAUGAAAAUUGCAACUUGAUCUGUGGUGAUGAAUAUGGUCCAGAAACAAGGUUGAGCAGGUCUCAAUUGAACGAAAAGGAAACUCCCUUUUAAUUCAUCAAAGCUCUACUUAAGUACAUUGAAACUCUUAACGUUUCCGGAGCUGUUGUUUUGUUUUGUUUUGUUUUGUUUUGUUUUUUUGCCUGUCUGGAAUUUGAUUUAUACUGUGAAGAAGCAUUUGGAAAUGAAUCCACAUUUUGAUUCCUCCAGAGCAACAGCGCAAAGUGUU